AUUGAACGCUGGCGGCAGGCCUAACACAUGCAAGUCGAACGAGUGGCGGACGGGUGAGUCAUGUCUGGGAAACUGCCUGAUGGAGAGGGAUAACUACUGGAAACUGUAGCUAAUACCGCAUACCAUCCGAUGUUCCCAGAUGGGAUGAGCUAGUUGGUGGGGUAACGGCUCACCAAGGCGACUAUCCCUAGCUGGUCUGAGAGGAUGACCAGCCAAACUGUAACUGAGACAAGGGCCAGACUCCUACGGGAGGCAGCAGUGGGGAAGAUUGCACAAUGGGCGCAAGCCUGAUGCAGCAAUGCCGCGUGUAUGAAGAAGGCCUUAGGGGUGUAAAGUACUUUCAGCGGGGAGGCGUUACCCGCAGAAGAAGCACCGGCUAACUCCGUGCCAGCAGCCGCGGUAAUUC
rnacentral:rRNA from 1 species